rnacentral:rRNA from 1 species
GCGGCGGGAGCGUGGGGUAGGGAUAGGGGGGUAGGAUCGCGAGUUGGGUGCCGGGAGUGCGGCAGCGGUGGCAUAGGUGCGAGGUGGGGUGCCGGGAGUGCGGCAGCGGUGGCAUAGGUACGAGGUGGGGUGCCAGGACGAUGACAGCGGCGGCAGGAGCGCGAGGCGGGCUCUAGGUAGGCGGCAGGAACGUGAGACGGGCUCUAGGGUAGCGACAGGAGCGCGAGGCGGGCUCUAGGUCGGCGGCAGGAGCGUUAGGCUGACUCUAGGUCCGCUUUAGCCGGGAGUGCAAGUCCCUAGGUGGGGGUAGGGGCAGGAGGUCGGGGGUUGGAGCAGGCGGUAGAAUAAAGACGGCGGCCAUCUCUAGGUAGGCACUCGAGAGGUAGGGCAACGCGGGGAGGGCUUCGGUCGGCAGGCAACGACGUCUAGAGCAGUGUUCUGAGCAGAAAAGGUUAUCCUCGCCCACAUGUACUACCACUCGAACGUCCCGCCGCUCAUGCGCUAUGAUGGACCGUCGUUCCUGCUCUCCACCCGCUCGCCUCCCGCGGCUCCACCUGGGUUUCAGGUCAGUUACAAAUUCCUCCUACCAACUAUGUACAGAUGUGUAAAACAGUCUCGUUAAACGUCACUUUCUUCGUCGGAGUUUGACUAUUCCUAAUAAGAUCUUUUUUUGACUAUUCUUCCGUUGUAAAUAAAGAUAAUUCAUUACCAAUAACAACAUCUACUUCCUACUGUUCUGCCGUUGAUUACAUGGUCCUCCACGUCCUACCAACUAUGUACAGAUGUGUAAAAAAGUCUCGUUAAACGUCACUUUCUUCGUCGGAGUUUGACUAUUCCUAAUAAGAUCUUUUUUUGACUAUUCUUCCGUUGUAAAUAAAGAUAAUUCAUUACCAAUAACAACAUCUACUUCCUACUGUUCUACCGUUGAUUACAUGGUCCUCCACGUCCAUGAUGUUGUAUUAUGUAUGUAAUUCAAAUAACAAAGAGAGAAUCUUUAUAUGGAUCUAGUAAAACUCGGAACUGAUUUCGCGCUGUAAAGACGGACUUGGAUAUCGUAAUGAUCUAUUGUAAAACAUAGAACAAGUAUUUUGACUUGAGGUGUAUGACGUCAAAUAUUAUUUUUUAUACUUUUAUUGUGUUGUACUAGACUUCGCGUGUAUGUAACGAAUAUCCUCAAUUGUAUGUGUUUAGUCAAACCACAAUAGGGAAACCACCAGUGUUAGACUUCUAGUGUACCGUAUUUGACUUGAAGUGUAUGAUGUCAAAAACCCCAGUCUUCAACAUGUAAAGGCAAGAUGAAGUAGUCUAUUGCAUGUUUGUGUUAAUAAAAGUUUGAAACUUCUAAUGUAGUCGAUUGAAACAUCAUCUUGUUUAUGUUGAAGUCUAACCGACUAGGAUGAUGUCAAACAACGUACAUUCUACAACUUAUUUUAAACAUCUAAACAGACGGUACCUUUUUACGUAUAAGAUAUAUAUACAUCUAUACAGACGUACUACUAAGGAAAAUAGUAAAAUAUUUAUAGAAUGGAGUACAUACUGUCUUGAUACAAUACACACAAUACCUGUAUACAGUAUUUAUGAAUUAAGAACACGAAGAGAACCGACGGUUAAAGGGAUGCUCGAAGUUUCGUGAACUCGACUGAGGUGAAAGAUGGUUUAAGAACACCCCAUAAAAGUGCAUUAGUCGUUGGAUCAUACGUACCUACACUACCGAACCUUCACAAUACCUCGUAAACCGACAGAUGUCAUAAAACCUGGUCGUUAGAAUUAACAUUAGUACUUGCAUACACACAAGACCUGGUAAACCACGAGUUCAUAAUACCUCAUCUUUAGAACACGAGUACCUACACUGAGUUCACAAAACCUGGUAAAUCACAAACUUGAUAAAAUCUGGUCGUUUAUCCCCAGGAAAUUACACUGAAAACAAAAGACCUACCAACGGUUCUAUCGGUUUGAAACGAAACACAUCUAACUGAGCACAAACUUGCACACUUGUUAUAUAUACACACAUAAGAAUAAUGGUAUAAUAGUUACCAACACUUUAUACACAAGUAG